rnacentral:rRNA from 1 species
AGAGUUUGAUUCUGGCUCAGGAUGAACGCUAGCGACAGGCUUAACACAUGCAAGUCGAGGGGCAGCAUAAAAGUAGCAAUACUUGGUGGCGACCGGCGCACGGGUGAGUAACGCGUAUGCAACCUACCUAUCAGGAGGGGAAUAACCCGGCGAAAGUCGGACUAAUACCGCAUAAAACAGGGGCACCGCAUGGUGAUAUUUGUUAAAGAAAUUCGCUGAUAGAUGGGCAUGCGUUCCAUUAGGUAGUUGGUGAGGUAACGGCUCACCAAGCCGACGAUGGAUAGGGGAACUGAGAGGUUGGUCCCCCACACUGGUACUGAGACACGGACCAGACUCCUACGGGAGGCAGCAGUGAGGAAUAUUGGUCAAUGGGCGAGAGCCUGAACCAGCCAAGUCGCGUGAAGGAAGAAGGAUCUAUGGUUCGUAAACUUCUUUUGCAGGGGAAUAAAGUGCAGGACGUGUCCUGUUUUGUAUGUACCCUGAGAAUAAGGAUCGGCUAACUCCGUGCCAGCCGCCGC